rnacentral:lncRNA from 1 species
AACUAGUAUACAUUAUAGCGUAUCUCACGCAUAGUUAGUUAAUUCGGAUUCCACAAAAAUUCGGUACGGAUAUAAUUCGGAUAAAAUUUGUCUUCUAAUUUUUAAAUUCGUUGAAAAAAAGGGCUAAAAAACGGAUUCGUCAAUUAUUCGGAUACGUGAUUUAUACGGAUAUUAUACGUUCACCAAUUAAAAAUUCAGGAUUAAAAAUUCGGCUAUUAAAUUAAGUUUUUUUCUCUCAAGAUUUAUACUUCCAUUAAGACUUGGGAUUUGGGGAAUUGGGAUUUUAUUUAUCUCUUGCUUGUCUAUUACAGAAGUGAGUUCAUUACAUAUACUGCUUCCAUCUAGAGGACCAAAAUGUAAGAGUUAUAAUGGCAGGGGUAUGGUAGUAAUUGUAUUAGUACUAAUUGCAUCAACUCCUGUGGCUUCAAUACGCCUCCCUCCAAGAAAGCGGAGUCGGGUCCGACAAUGCAGCUGUGAGAGAGCGCGGACCCGUCGCCCGAAAGCCGAAUCAAGGUGCGGAGUCGGGCUUGGUGACGCUACAGUGAGGGAGUGCGAGCCCACUACCCGUUAGCCUAUCUCUCCCAUAGAUCACACCGCCGCCUUGCUUCCUCCUACCAUGGAUCCUCCAUUGUCUCACUCUACUCCUUUUACCUUCUAUCUACUGCUCCUCUGCUCGCCGUCAUGGUCGCACCAUGACAGAAGAGGGGGAGGGGAAGAACCGCGAUCGCCGCAGGAGUGAGAAGUUAGGGCAAACCCUUCUUUUGGGCGACAUGGCGAGGCGAAGCGCGAAGCUUCUCUGAAAAGGUUUUUUUUUUUAAUAUUUUCGGCCACCCGCAAGGCCCGCGACUCCGCGUCGCAGCAACCGCCCCGAUCUUUUGGGGCGAACUAUUCGCGAACCACGUUCAAUUCGCGAAUAAUUACUUUUACCUGAAAAAUCACAUUUUUUUCCGAAUUUUUGAGAAAUAAUCGAAAAACGAACGAUCCUUUAAUUCGGAUUUUCAAAAAUUCGUGAAUAAUUCGCGAAUAAUUCGUGAAUUAACUAUAAUCUUACGUGACGUGUGCAAAAGUUUAAUUAAGAUUCUCAUCCAAUUGCAUUUUUAAUCCUACUCUUUGUUAUCUCUAAUUUUCUGCACGCGUAUAUGCUACGCAAUUAAUGCCAUGCACGCAGUGUCACAUGUUGCAGAGUGCGACAUACUGCAUCCUGCUCCCACGGGCAGAAAAUGCACGGAUAGACGCGCGACAUGCUUUGACUAGUCUGCUGCUUGACGUCCAUGAUCUGGCUGAAGGUUACAUUUGACUGCAUCUUAGGUGCGUGCGAAUCGGAGAUUAAUUGGUGUUCUUCUUGACGCGAUCGAGUACUGGCCCCGAAGCAUUAAUCGAAUGCUUCUGCCUCUUCAGUAUCUUUGCCAGAAUGAGAGGGCUUCCACGAUGAGAAUCUGCACACGCGUGGUGACGGAGAGCAGUGUGCAUGGGGAGUACAACCCAAAGCUUAAGAAGAACAGAAAACAGAUGCGAUGGCAAUUAAGCACUCAAUUUACUAAUUAAUGGUCGCUCGCAACUAAAACACCAUUGUCGUUUUACAGGACCAGCCAGUCUGCUACAGACCUUACCUCAAGAACAACUUUUAUAACUUAAAACUCUCUUUAUCGCUCUUCAGAUCGAUUUGCCUAAAGUUCAAACUCUUUAAGAGCAAGACAACCCAGCAUCCCAUCAAAAUGCCUAGUUUAGUGAUCUGCUUUUUGUCCACAUGGUAGAUUUUUCUCUGUUUUUUUUUUUUUUACCAAAGAACAUGCAUGCAUGCUAGUUUGAACUAACAUGGCAUAGCCACAAUUGUUGUUCUUUUCAUAAAUACAUGCUUAAUCUGAAAGCCGUACUUGAAUUUAACAAUUUAGUAAUUCAUCACUCCCAAUUUUAAG